rnacentral:rRNA from 1 species
UACGAGGGGGGCGAGCGUUGUUCGGAAUUAUUGGGCGUAAAGGGUGCGUAGGCGGUUUGGUAAGUCUCUUGUGAAAUCUAUGGGCUCAACUCAUAGUCUGCAAGGGAAACUGCCGGGCUUGAGUGUGGGAGAGGUGAGUGGAAUUUCCGGUGUAGCGGUGAAAUGCGUAGAUAUCGGAAGGAACACCAGUGGCGAAGGCGGCUCUCUGGGACGGUACUGACGCUGAGACGCGAAAGCGUGGGGAGCGAACAGG